AAAUUGAAGAGUUUGAUCAUGGCUCAGAUUGAACGCUGGCGGCAGGCCUAACACAUGCAAGUCGAGCGGUAGCACAGAGAGCUUGCUCUCGGGUGACGAGCGGCGGACGGGUGAGUAAUGUCUGGGAAACUGCCUGAUGGAGGGGGAUAACUACUGGAAACGGUAGCUAAUACCGCAUAAUGUCGCAAGACCAAAGUGGGGGACCUUCGGGCCUCAUGCCAUCAGAUGUGCCCAGAUGGGAUUAGCUAGUAGGUGGGGUAACGGCUCACCUAGGCGACGAUCCCUAGCUGGUCUGAGAGGAUGACCAGCCACACUGGAACUGAGACACGGUCCAGACUCCUACGGGAGGCAGCAGUGGGGAAUAUUGCACAAUGGGCGCAAGCCUGAUGCAGCCAUGCCGCGUGUGUGAAGAAGGCCUUCGGGUUGUAAAGCACUUUCAGCGGGGAGGAAGGCGGUGAGGUUAAUAACCUCAUCAAUUGACGUUACCCGCAGAAGAAGCACCGGCUAACUCCGUGCCAGCAGCCGCGGUAAUACGGAGGGUGCAAGC
rnacentral:rRNA from 1 species